rnacentral:lncRNA from 1 species
CUUGCUCUAUGCUUCUUGGUGUCAGAAUUGCUUUUCUCCUCAGGGCCCCAAGUGAGAGCAUGCAGUGCCAAGUCGUCGUCCUGAGGUCAACUGGUGGCUCAGGCCCUGCGCACGCCGCACGCAUUUCUGACAGGCUUCUCUGCUCAGGGCCCCACCAAGAUGUCAGCCUGAAGGAGGGCCUUGCCAUCCGGUCUUCUCUGCCUGACAGGUCUGUGAUCAAAGGAACGAGACUGACACAAAGCGAAAAUCAAACAAAGCUUUAUUUCAUGCCAAGUAUCGAGAAUGUUGGGGCCAUCUCUUACGAAGAGGCGAUGAUGACGAGGACGCCACGCCCGACAAUGAAGAGACUAUGACGACGAGGACUAUAACGUCGCUCCAGUGAGGUCCCCUGCAAGGACACUUCCUGGACGAGGCUCCUCCCCAGAUGAGGCCACUCCCAACGACAAAGAGGCGAUAACGUUGACAAGGAUGACAAUGCCGACACAGACUCUGCUCCUCAUGAUGCCACUCUGAACAGGCCGCUCCCCAAACGAUGCCACUCCAGUCGAGGCUGCUGUGGAUGAGGCUGCUCGCCUAGGAGGCCGAUCCCCAGACAAGGCUGCUCUGGCGAGGCUGCUCACGGCGGGCCGUGUCUCGGGGCGGCAAGUCCACUCAUGGCAGGGCUGUGCCUCGGUGUGGCAUGGCUGCUUGCAGCGGCGCUGCUCCUGACAACUAUUACUCUGACGACAACCGCUACUCUAAUGCCUAUCCCAACAGCUAUUCUAAAGGCUAUCCCAACGGAUUUUCUAACUACUCCUACUACUAUAACGGCUAUUGUAACUCCUCCUACUACUCUAACAACUAUUCUAACUCCUACUACUACUCCCCGCACCACCCAGCCUCACAGACUAACCUUUAUAGAGGUGGUUGAGCCCGGCCCACACACAGGUGGCCAAUAAGAUUUCAACUCACCACAGUAAAUAUAUGUUGCCCCACUGAUUGGAUGUCUCCAUCUGGCCUGACCCGCCCCUAUAUCUGGGGUUUACAAGUAAGUUCCUCUGGCUAAACAGGCCCGUACAUUCUCCCCUUUUUUUGGAAGUUAGUCAAACCCUUGAUUUUUCAGCCAGUUCUAUGUUCUCCUUUUGUAAGGGGGUUAUAUUGAGCAUGUAAGACUAACAUUUUUAUCGCUCCAAUUUUCUUUGGUACAAAUGACAUUAGAGAGUUUAUCAUACAGGAUCCAAAAAGUAACAGUAGUGCAUAGUCGGCUGAUGAGGUAGCCAUUCUACGCUUUGUAUAACCUUUUCCAUUUUUCCCAAUUCCAUUCAUCUAAUCUCCCACCUAUACUUUACAUAAACAGGUAACAAUAGGGGCAACAAUAAACUCACAGUUUUUUUAGUCUUAACUUUAGUCCAUGGUCAGCGGGGUCCGUGGGCUGCAGCUUCCAUCUCUGGGGGGCAUCCUCAUCCUUGGCUCCUUUCACAUGACCUGCGUGAAUCCAGGCUCUAAUGCCUUCUUUUUUACUGCCAUGGGGGUGGUCAGGAUAACAGUAAACGGUCCCUUCCAGCGAGGCUCCAAGUUCCCCACUUGGUGGGGACGUAUCUAAACCAAGUCCCCGGGUUGGUAAGGAUGUGGUUCCACCUCUGUCUCCUUCCCAGUGUGGGCAGUCCAGAUCCCUGCCUGGGCUUUUUUUAAAGACAGACUGUAAUGCCUUCAGUGACCGGAGUACAGACUGAUCAGUCAUUUCUGUUAGGGCAACCUUUUGUAGCCAAGGACAGAGUGUGAGGAGGUGGUCUCCCAAACAUUAUUUCAAAUGGGGUCACCUUGUUUAAAUAGGGUGUACAUCAUGCCCUGAGGAUGGCGAAAGGAAGGAGAUCCACCCAUCCACCGCCAUUCUCCAGAAUUAACUUUGACAAGGUCUCUUUAAGAGUCCGGUUCAUUUGCUCUACUUGCCUGGAACUCUGGGGCCGGUAGGCACAAUGUAGUUUCCAAUUAGUGCCCACGGCCUUGGCCAAUGCCUGUGAGACUGAACUCAAAAAUGCAGGGCCAUUGUCUGACUCAAUCGUGAGAGGCAGCCCAAACCUAGGAAUUAUUUCCUCUAGUGGCUUUUUGGCUACCACUUCUGCCAUCUCAUGUUUGGUGAAAAAGCCUCUACCCAGCCUGAAAAUGUAUCUACAAAAACUAACAUAUACUUGUGCUCAUAUUUUCUGGGUUUCAUUUCUGUCAAAUCUACUUCCCAAUAAAUUCCUGGUUCCUUACCUCUUUCUCUUUUCCCUCUUCCCAUUUUAGUUCUUCCCACAUUAACUGCCUGGCAUUGAGCACAUCUAUCAACUACAUCCUGA